ACUUCAUUGCUGAUCAAAACAACAAUUCUAUAGAUUCUAACUCGUUUAGAGGGAGUAAAGAUGGGGAUGAUACCGAGGUUGUGCUCAAACAGAAUCCUAAACCUGUGUUGAAACCCCCUAUGCCAAGGGUGGAAAGAGGUUUGGGGUCGAAUACUGCUCCUUGGACUAAGGAUUUAUCCAAUGGGGGUAAGUUUGAUGGCGAAGAAGAGAGGAAUAAGGUUAUUGAAUCUCUUGGUGAUGUGUUAGAUAAAGCUGAGAAAUUGGAAAUACCGAAACCAGGUAAUAGAGAAGGUGUUGAGGCUGUUAAACCGUCACCGCCUACUGCCAGCAGUAGUAACUCGAAAAAUGGUAGCUAUGCGAGUGCUGGAGCCACAAGGAAGACGAAAACUAUGAAGAGUGUGUGGCGUAAGGGAGAUGCUGUCUCUGCUGUGCAAAAAGUUGUUAAGGAAUCACCUAAAAUUGAUAAUAGAGGAAUGCAGGUCGAACCUAGAACAAAAGAAGAGGAAGAGGCCAAUGCCAAAGCAGGCGCUCAAUUGGCACCACCUCAGCCACCUUUUAGACCUCAACCUCCUGUAAGACCCCAGCCAAUGUUACAAGGGAAGCCUAUGGUAGCUCAACCACCCGUCAAGAAAUCACCCAUCUUAAAAGAUCUUGGUAUGGCACCAAAACCUCCAGUUUCUCAAGAAGUUGAUUCUAGCAUUAAAAGUAAAGAAAGGAAGCCUAUUUUGGUUGACAAAUUUGCUUCCAAGAAAAAGGCUGUUGAUGCUGUGGCCUCUCAGGCUGUGUUAGCUCCUACGAAGCCUGGAAAGGGUCCUCCCUCUAACAAGUUCAGGGUUGAGCACCGUAAUAAAAAAAAUGCAUCAGCUAGCCCAAGACGAAGAAUUGUUGCUGAAGAUGACGGAGAUGAAGAUACAUCCAUUUCUAGAUCAGGUAGAAAAGGGAGAAAAUGGAGUAAAGCGAGUAGGAAGGCUGUAAGACUCCAGGCUGCAAAAGACGCUGCACCUGUCAAAG
rnacentral:lncRNA from 1 species